CUAACUCAUAAUCUUUCACCCAAUUUGGCGGACGGCCCUGGCGAGUUGAUCUCCUGGUCGAACCCGGUUCGUGUUCGUUCAACAGACUUGGGUCGAUGUCUCCCGAUUCUUCAGUUUGUUCAGAAUCCAUUGCUGCUGCUCUAAUCUUCUCAACGUCUCCUUGUAUGGCUUUAUCGUCCACCGGAGUCGCAUCAUAACCUCAGUGUCGUUUACCCUGAUAUUUCUACAGCAUAUGAUCAUGGCAAAGAGGAAUAUGAAUGAUAUCAAAGACUUAGGUACCCAGUUGAUGAAUUGUGGUACCAUCGAUAUUGUGAAGCUUCUUUACUCUUCUUCUUUUUUCCUCUCCUUUUCUAUACUAUUUCUUUAGGUAAGAUCGUUGUUGAGUCGGAGGUUAGGGGAAGUUUAAAUGGUAAAAAGAGACGUCGGCAAAGUCAACCUUCCACCGUUGGUCACGCUCCAUCGAGCGUUGGGCUUGGUCCACGUUUUUGCCGACUUUAG
rnacentral:lncRNA from 1 species